UACGGAGGGUGCGAGCGUUGUCCGGAAUCACUGGGCGUAAAGGGCGCGUAGGCGGCAUGCCAAGCGUGUGGUGAAAGCCCGGGGCUCAACCCCGGGUUGGCCGUGCGGACUGGCGUGCUCGAGCACUGUAGGGGCGGGUGGAAUUCCGGGUGUAGCGGUGGAAUGCGCAGAUAUCAGGAGGAACACCAGUGGCGAAGGCGGUGCUCUGGGCCGGAACUGACGCUGAGGAGCGAAAGCGUGGGGAGCAAACAGG
rnacentral:rRNA from 1 species